rnacentral:rRNA from 1 species
AAAGAAAGCGUAAUAGAUCACUGGUUGAAUCGUACUGAACGUAAGAUUGUACGUGGCUUAGCUAUGCACUGAAGUUGCGGUAUAGAUUUAGUAUAUUGGUGUGGGAGGGUAUUGUAAGCCGAUGAAUGUGAAUUGAGAAGUUAGAUGGAGGUAUCAGAAGUGCGACUGCAGACAUGAUUAACGUAAAAUAAGUGAGAUUCUUAUUAGACGCAAACCCAAGGGAUGCUACGCAAGGUUAAUAAAUGUAGGGUAAGCAGGCACCGAAGGCGUAGCUGUAGAGUGAAGUCGAAGGGAAAACGGUCAAUAUGCCUGUGCUGAUUAUGAGAACGGAGGAGGGUCGGUGUAGGAUACGACGGCAAUGCGAAUGGCAUGUCAGGCGUACGUAUGUAGGUUGGAAUGCUAGGCAAAUCGGGUGU